rnacentral:rRNA from 1 species
AUUGAACGCUGGCGGCAGGCCUAACACAUGCAAGUCGAACGAGCGGCGGACGGGUGAGUAAUGUCUGGUAAACUGCCUGAUGGAGGGGGAUAACUACUGGAAACGGUAGCUAAUACCGCAUACCAUCAGAUGUGCCCAGAUGGGAUUAGCUAGUAGGUGGGGUACUGGCUCACCAAGGCGACGAUCCCUAGCUGGUCUGAGAGGAUGACCAGCCACACUGUAACUGAGACACGGUCCAGACUCCUACGGGAGGCAGCAGUGGGGAAUAUUGCACAAUGGGCGCAAGCCUGAUGCAGCCAUGCCGCGUGUAUGAAGAAGGCCUUCGGGUUGUAAAGCACUUUCAGCGAGGAGGCGUUACCCGCAGAAGAAGCACCGGCUAACUCCGUGCCAGCCGCCGCGGUAAUAC